AUGAUGAAUAAACCCGUUGCUGAAAAAUGAUGAGAGGAUCGACUAGCUGA
rnacentral:snoRNA from 1 species